ACAUAGCCCCGAUAGGAACGGCAUCCUUUUUUGCUUUUUGUAUCAACUUUCUUUCGAAGAACAAAUGUUCUGAAAGCAAAAAAGAUAUAGUGGAUAGCGGGAAAUAGC
rfam:Epilithonimonas sp. FH1 contig06, whole genome shotgun sequence.